AUGCAGGGGUGUGGAGGGGAGGAGUUAGUAAAUUCGAGUGCAGAGAAAGCGUAAAGUAGAAUCGUUGAGUCCGGGGAUGGUAUUCACGGUUUACGCAGCAGAUUGAAGAAAUAUGGCCUCCUUUCGAUUCGGGCAUUUCUUUCUUGUUCGUUACUAGAUCCUGCACUCUGAUAAAUUUUCCUCUCUUCCUCGCAUGUUAGGCCAGCCACGCAUGUUUCAAGCUUUUGUUACUAUAAUGCGCAGUUUAAAUGAUGUCAAACAGACAGUCUGUCCAACUGAGAUUGAAGAACAGAAAUGUUAGUCUUCGUAGACAGCACCGCCCAGAAGCACAACCUGACAAACUUUGUAGUAUUAUCUCCUGUGGUUAGACCCUUGAGACUAAAUCGAAAUCACUGACAGUAAACCUCGCCUUGCGUUCAUCAUUUUUGCCACUCUAACAUUUUUGAUAAGUAAUCUAAGAAAAGUCGUGUUUAUAGUAUUCCUAGGGCGCUAGUCCAUUAAGAAUAGGUAUAUUAGUCUCCCUCGCCAGGUCACUCAAUUUUUUCAUAUGAUGAAGUUGUUUUAGAUUCCCCUGUAAACUUUGUGUUCUUGUGGAUCAGUCGGGAAUAAAUGCAAGAGCUGAACGCUCUAUUAAGAGACUGACUCGACUGAAGCCAGUCAGGUUUAUGUUCACUGAGAAAUAUUGUUAGACUUUUUGCCGCUGAGUAAGUUUAGAUUCUACUGACCUGUCGACGCACGGUGUAUUUUCUAUGGUCAUUUCUCUUCGCUCCCUUUCCCCCCACCAAAAAAAAAGGGAACAGAAAUAAACAAUUGUAAAUGUGUUUGUGUCUCAUUAUCUCAAAACUGAAAAGAAAUAACAAAUAGAUUGAAAAGAAAAGAAAACCCAAAUAUUCGCAAGGUCAUUUGGAAUCCGUGCGUAUCACCUCUACCCUGAAACAUCCUCGUUCCUUUGUUGUUCUUACCUUUGUGGUUUCCGCCUUGCCAACAUAACUUUUAUUUAAUGGUUUCCAUUUAUCCGAGGUAAACUGUCUUUCGUGUCAGAAAAAAACUGAGUCACGACGCAGAUCUUUAAACGGUCCAUUGAACGGGAACCCCCGUCUCUUUCUUAAUGACGUACAGCAGAGUUAAUGGCCCACCCUCCAGAUUAGACUUUUAUUCAUCAAAAUCAGCGCAACUUCACUGCUUGCGGAGUCUGAUUAAGAAUGUGGCCAAGGUUAAUUAAAAGUGAAGGAAAACAAGUCUUGUCUACUAGUAUCUACAUUGGAAGAAUAGAAUGUUUUAUUUAAUGUCGAAGACGUGGGAAGGGUUUGCACAAUCUUCCGAGCCAGAGGCUCAUGUUAAAAACGCUCGACAAACUAAAAAUACAAGACAAGAUGAAAUGUGGGUUAUGCGUAUAUAAAUAUUAAAAAAUAUUGAUAAAUAUCAACUAGCCAGGAGUAUGUAAAUAUGUACAAAUAGAUGAUAUUUGGUAUAGUUGCAAUUGUCAACAACAAUUCUGACAAAUUGUUAUUGACAAGUCUCUCUGUUUAAAAGCUGUGACGUCAGUUCGUGAACAAGGGAACCGAUCAACGAUGUCUGCCAUCUUGCCCACUUUCUUUUCAUGUUUGAAGAAAACACUUGAACUCCCUCAUAGUUAUUUAUUGCACUUCUCCAGUAAAACGGAAUUCAAAAAUGUAAUUUUUUUCGGUGA